UCUGCGAUCCUACUCAACACUCGAAGGAAACUCAUCGCCUGCUAGCCCAUCACCAGACAACAGCCCUUCUAAAUCCCAAUCGCCUGUUAAACGUAGGAGAAUGCUCCAUUGUGACACCCCGUCUACAUGCGCACAAGAAAGCAGCGGACAACGAAAAACAAAGCGAAGUUUAAACUACGAGGGUGAUUCUGAAGG